rnacentral:rRNA from 1 species
UACGUAGGGUGCAAGCGUUAAUCGGAAUUACUGGGCGUAAAGCGUGCGCAGGCGGUUGUGCAAGACAGAUGUGAAAUCCCCGGGCUUAACCUGGGAAUUGCAUUUGUGACUGCACGGCUAGAGUGUGUCAGAGGGGGGUAGAAUUCCACGUGUAGCAGUGAAAUGCGUAGAUAUGUGGAGGAAUACCGAUGGCGAAGGCAACGAUCUGGCUAUGACUGACGCUCAGAGACGAAAGCAUGGGGAGCGAAUGGG